rfam:Triticum urartu cultivar G1812 contig510524, whole genome shotgun sequence.
GGUAAGUAUAUAAAGAAACUAUUACGGAUAAAUAAGCUAUAUAUUAAAGACGUAUAAAAAGUGUUCUUGGAAAAAUCCAUUUUGUAAACGGAGCGAAUUGAAAUAUCUUAGUAGCUUCAGGAAUAAAAAUCAAAUGAGAUUCCGUAAUUAGCUAUAACUGUUAUGGAAAAGCCUUUAAAGUAAAACGGAAAUAAUCUGUUUGAAUUUAGGGAAACCUUUCUCUAAGGCUAAAUAUGAUAUAUAAGCGAUAGUGAAGCAGUACCGUGAGGGAAAUUUUUGAAAUAGUAGUUUUAUAAGCAGCUCAAGUUUAAUUUAAAAGUAUAAUGAGAGCGUACCUUUUGCAUAAUGGGUCAGCAAGUUAAUAUUAGAUGCGAGAAAAAGAGUACAGAAAAGAUUAGGAAGUAAAACUUAAUAUAUUUUUAGUUUAAUGCUAAAAAUUAAAAAGAGAAUGAAAACGAAAUGAGUAAGGUAAUUAACUCUUAUUCCUAGAUAAACCGAUUAUUAAUUAAUGAUUAAGUAUCUAAUAUUAGACCCGAAGCCUAGUGAUCUUACCAUGAUCAGGGUUAUAAAGGCCUGAACGGGUUAUCGUUGUAAAGAUAUCCGAUGAAUUGUGGUAAGUUAGUGAAAGACAAAACUGACUAGGAUAGCUGGUUUUCUGCGAAACCUAUAUAAGUAGGUAAUGUGAAUUACAUCAUAGCAGGUACAGAACUGUGAUCUCGGACAAAGUAUGUUGUUUUCUUAGCGCUUUGCGAGCAAAGCGCUAAGGAUGAUGGCAUGGUUUUUGUAUACAUCGGGGAAUCCCGAAGAUUUUAUCGGCGAGAAUUUGCUCUCGAAAGGGCAAUGAUGGAUUUUGCAUAAUCGGACAUAGUACGAUAAGGUUGUAUGUCUAAAGGGAAACAGCCCAGAACAAGAGUUAAAGGUUCCAAAAUUAUUGUUAAGUGAAAAUAAGGAAGUUUUCUUCAAAUACAACCAGGAAAUAGGCUUAGAAGCGGCCAUUUUUUGAAGACCUCGUAACAGAGCACUGGUUUAACAUUAAAAGUUGAAAGCACCGAAAAUUUAACGGAUCUAAAACAAUAUACCGAAACCUUGUCUAUAAAUAAACCUAUUUUAAGAUUUAUACCAAAUUAUUAUCUUAAGUAUUUUUAUUUAUGGGGUAGCAGAACGUUGGGCAUGUCUUAGACUUAAUGUUUUUAAUAUUAAGUAGGUUAACUCGAUUGUUUAUUAUCUAAACCAAGUAGGUUCAAGACUUAUUUGUUAGGGGUGGUAUAAUGACUUGUUAACAAGAUGACCCCAAGUGAGAAUGCUGGCAUGAGUAACGAAAAAGGGAUAGCCCCUCGCCUUAAGCUUAUGGUAUUUAAAUAAAGUAACGGCCUCUAAGUUUUGUCCUAAAGGAUUAAACGAUGAGAAAAAUCUUCAGGUAUGUCUAACAACAUUGAAAAUUUAAAGACUAGCUUCGUGUAAAAAAAAAAUCAGCACGUUGUGAUGUGUGAGUAAACAGUGUUCUGGAAAAAGGCGACCAAUAUUUAUGAUCGUAACAAUCAACGGUCAGGUCUAACAAAGAUAUAAAUAGUAAAUAACCGUACCUAGAUACUACCACAAGUAAGCAAGUAGAGUAUACAAAGGCGUUUGAGUUAACAAUCAUUAAGGAACUCGGCAAAAUGACACCGUAACUUAGGGAUAAGGUGUGCCAUCCUUAUCGAUGAAUAUAAGAUAAGGAGAGGAGACAUAAAAUGGCGUUGUACGACUGUUUAAUUAAAACAAAGCACUUUGCAUAAGAUGACAAAUCAAAGUAUUGAGUGUGAAUUCUGCCCGAUGUUGGCUGGUUAACGGAUUUUCUUAGCUGACUAAAAUAAGCUAGGUUUUGAAGGAAACCCCAAUCAAUGGCGGCCUUAUCGAUGAGGGUCCUAAGGUAGCGGAAUACCUUGGCCGUUAAAUGCGGUCUUGCAUGAAUGAUUU